rnacentral:rRNA from 1 species
GUUCCUACGGGGGGCAGCAGUGGGGAAUAUUGGGCAAUGGGCGCAAGCCUGACCCAGCAACGCCGCGUGAAGGAAGAAGGCUUUCGGGUUGUAAACUUCUUUUCUCAGGGACGAAGAAAGUGACGGUACCUGAGGAAUAAGCCACGGCUAACUACGUGCCAGCAGCCGCGGUAAUACGUAGGUGGCAAGCGUUAUCCGGAUUUAUUGGGUGUAAAGGGCGUGUAGGCGGGAACGCAAGUCAGAUGUGAAAACUCAGGGCUCAACCCUGAGCCUGCAUUUGAAAAUGUGUUUAUUGAGUGAUGGAG